AUUGAACGCUGGCGGCAUGCCUUACACAUGCAAGUCGAACGGUAACGGGCCUUCGGGUACCGACGAGUGGCGAACGGGUGAGUAAUGUAUCGGAACGUACCUUUCAGUGGGGGAUAACGUAGCGAAAGUUACGCUAAUACCGCAUAUUCUGUGAGCAGGAAAGCAGGGGAUCGCAAGACCUUGCGCUGAUUGAGCGGCCGACAUCAGAUUAGCUAGUUGGUGAGGUAAAGGCUCACCAAGGCGACGAUCUGUAGCGGGUCUGAGAGGAUGCUCCGCCACACUGGAACUGAGACACGGUCCAGACUCCUACGGGAGGCAGCAGUGGGGAAUUUUGGACAAUGGGGGCAACCCUGAUCCAGCCAUGCCGCGUGAGUGAAGAAGGCCUUCGGGUUGUAAAGCUCUUUCGGCCGGGAAGAAAUCGUAUCAGCUAAUACCUGGUGCGGAUGACGGUACCGGCAUAAGAAGCACCGGCUAACUACGUGCCAGCCGCCGCGGUAACAC
rnacentral:rRNA from 1 species